GACUUAAAUAAUUUGAGCGAAAAUCCGUUGGCUUUAUUGACCGUGAGGGUUCAAGUCCCUCUACCCCCA
rnacentral:tRNA from 19 species